GUGCCCUUUAAGCCAGAAACAAACUCAACCACCAACCACCAAACCCACAAAUGAGACAAAACCAAACCAAACCAAAAAUCCAACAAAUAAACAAACAAAAAACUUUCCCUGAGACAAACCACAGAACUUUAUUUUGGGAAAAGAAAACAUUUUUUUGUUGGUCAAACUAUCAGCUCCUAUGAAAUACUCUUAGAGAUGUUUAUCCUGAGCUAGUUUUUUUUGUGGGGAGGUGCUGUUUACAUGCUAUGUUAAAAAUAACACGCAAAAAUUCACGAGACAUUGAUGAUGAUGAUGGUUAUACAAAUAACGAGAAUAAUGAUAUUGGCAUACAUCAUGUGAGUGGAAAAAAAAAGUUGAUGGUGGUGAUGACAAUACGAUCGAAACUGCUUUUGCUCCGUGGAAAGCCCUUUGAGAUGGGGACCUGGCUGUGCAGUUUGCGGUGUAUUUGCCUAAAACGCCAUCUGGCUGCUACGUAGAGGAAGAACACUGUUUGCUUUUCUGGCCUUUGUUUUCAUAAUUCUUCAAUUUCUCUUUAUGCUCCUAAAAAUUCUACAUAAUCCCAUUUCGAACAUUGCAUUCAUUCUCUUUUUUUUUCUCUUAGAAAACAAUAAGGGUUUUCAUUAAGAAGUAAGUCAUAAGACUGCAAGAGAACAAAUAAAACUCUUAAGAGGUCUCCCUCCCUCCCUCUCUCUCUGCAGGCUGGGGGUGGAGGAUUCAAACGAAAUUUUGCUUGAGAAAGUAGCCUGCUCGCUUCAGAAAAUUGAAUAUUUUAUUCAAAAAAGGUUAAUUUUGCAGAACCAAUUUGGCACACCUUUACAUCAUUCACACUACCUUCCCUGCCCCGUUAUUUAGAGAACUCUAAGAAACAUAAUCUAUACAUGCACACAAAGUUGGGAACAGUAGAUACUAGGGAAUACUAGAGGGUGGAGAGAUGGAGGGGCCAGGGCUGAAACACUACCUGUGGGGUGCUAUGCUCAGUACCUGGGUGAUGGGAUCAUCUGCAUUCCAAACCUCAGUGUCACAUGAUAUACCCAUGAAACAAACCUGUACCUGUACCACUCAAAUCUAAAAUAAAAGGUAAAAUUAUAUAUAAAAAAGGAAUAUGAUCCACAGAAUGUAUCAGACAAAAGGUGUUUGUUAUGGUGGCUAAUACACUUGGGGUUCAGAAAGUCAGUGGUGGCCACACACGGUGGCUCAUGCCUGUAAUACUAGUGCUUUGGGAGGCUGAGGCGGGAGGAUCAUGUGAAGCCAGGAGAUCGAGACCUCUCUGCUACAAAAAGUAAACAAACAAAAAUUGGCUGGGUGUGGUUAUGCAUGCUUGUGGUCCCAGCUACUUGGGAGACUGAGGUAGGAGGAUCACCUGAGCCCAGGAGGUCAAGGCUACAGUGAGCUAUGAUUGCACCACCACACUCCAGCCCAGGCAACAGAGCAAGACCAUGUCUCUUAAAAUUUUUUUUUUAAAGAAAAAAAGAAAGUUGGUGGGGACGUGAAUUCUAGAACUUUCUCUCCUCAAAUAUUUAGAACAGGUUGACAUGGUACACAACGUUCUUAAAAGAGCUUAGCAAGAGGACGGAGGCUCAGCAUUUGAAGGAAGCUGAAGCGAUCCUCCCUGUGUCCUCACAUGGUCAUCCCUCUGUGUGUGGCUGUAUCCUUUUAUUUUCUUGAAGACAGGGUCUCGCUCUGGCCCAGCAAAGAGUGCAGUGGUGCGAUCAUAGCUCACUGCAUCCUGGACCUCCUGGGCUCAAGCGAUCCUCCUACCUCAGCCUCCUGAGUGGCUGGGACCACAGGCGUACACCACUACACCUAGCUAAUAUAUAUAUGUUUUCUAGAUACAGAGUCUCCUUAUGUUGCCCAGGCUGGUCUCAAAUUCCUGGCCUCAAGCAAUCCUCCCGUCUCAGUCUCCCAAGUAGUCGGGUCUACCAGCACGCACCACCAUGCCCAGGUAAUUUUAAAACUUUUUGCGGCUGGGUGCGGUGGCUCAUGCCUGUAAUCCCAGAACUUUGGGAGGCCGAGGCAGGCAGAUCACUGAGGUCAGGAGUUAAAGACCAGCCUGGCCAACAUGGUGAAACCCCGUCUCUGCUAUAUAUACAAAAAUUAACCAGGCGUGGUAGAGGGCGCCUGUAGUCCCAGGUACUCGGGAGGCUGAGGCAGGAGAAU
rnacentral:lncRNA from 1 species